rnacentral:rRNA from 1 species
AGAAUCAACGCUGGCGGCGUGCCUAACACAUGCAAGUCGCACGAGAAAGGGGAGCAAUCCCUGAGUACAGUGGCGCACGGGUGAGUAACACGUGAAUCAUCUACCUCCGAGUGGGGAAUAACUGAGAGAAAUCUUAGCUAAUACCGCAUAAUACCCACGGGUCAAAGCAGUAAUGCGCUUGGAGAGGAGUUCGCGGCAGAUUAGUUAGUUGGCGGGGUAAUGGCCCACCAAGACGAUGAUCUGUAUCCGGCCUGAGAGGGCGCACGGACACACUGGAACUGAAACACGGUCCAGACUCCUACGGGAGGCAGCAGUGGGGAAUUUUGCGCAAUGGGGGAAACCCUGACGCAGCAACGCCGCGUGGAGGAUGAAGCCCCUUGGGUGUAAACUCCUUUCGAUCGGGAAGAUAAUGACGGUACCGAUAUAAGAAGCCCCGGCUAACUUCGCGCCAGCAGCCGC